rnacentral:lncRNA from 1 species
GACAACAUUCGUGGCUUUUUAUAGCCGAUUAUAUAGCCUAACCUACUGUUUAUUGCUACUAUUUUGUUUCAAUCCUGUUGCUAUUUCUUUGCUUUUCCUUUAUGCUCUGUCUUCUCCUUCUGUCUUGUUUUGCAGGGUUAGGCGUGGUCAACGGAAGGGAGCAGGUGGAGGAAGCGUGCUACAGGCGGUGGCAGAGGUCAAAAGACUGGCAUGGCAGAGGACUUAGGGGUAGCUAGGGUUUCUUCUGCCUCUUUCUUUGCUGAAAAUUUUUUAGAUUUUGGGCCAUUUGGGCUUAGGUUUUUUUUUGCAAUUUGGACUGGACUUUAUUAUUAUUUUUAUUUGAGCUAUUAAUAUUUUUUUUUGUUUUGGUUUUAUUUAUUUGGAUUUGUUUGGGCUGGUCAAUUUAGUUGGGUCCGGGCAAAUUGGGCCUACUACAACUUGU